AGAGUUUGAUCCUGGCUCAGAGCGAACGCUGGCGGCAGGCCUAACACAUGCAAGUCGAACGGAUCCUUCGGGAUUAGUGGCGGACGGGUGAGUAACACGUGGGAACGUGCCUUUUGGUUCGGAACAACUCAGGGAAACUUGAGCUAAUACCGGAUAAGCCUUUCGAGGGAAAGAUUUAUCGCCAUUAGAGCGGCCCGCGUAGGAUUAGCUAGUUGGUGGGGUAAAGGCCCACCAAGGCUACGAUCCUUAGCUGGUCUGAGAGGAUGAUCAGCCACAUUGGGACUGAGACACGGCCCAAACUCCUACGGGAGGCAGCAGUGGGGAAUCUUGCGCAAUGGGCGAAAGCCUGACGCAGCCAUGCCGCGUGAAUGAUGAAGGUCUUAGGAUUGUAAAAUUCUUUCACCGGGGACGAUAAUGACGGUACCCGGAGAAGAAGCCCCGGCUAACUUCGUGCCAGCAGCCGCGGUAAUUCCAGCUCCGAUAAGGAAAACUAAAGUUGCUGUGUUUAAAAAGCUCGUAGUUGAAUUUCGGGUAUUUGUUUCUAGCUGGUCUCUAUGGCCAUGUUGGUUAACAGAUCCUCACUUGCUGGACGGCUGGCGAUGAUCUUUAUCGAUUGUCGUCAGUUGCCAGAACGUUUACUUUGAGAAAAUUAGAGUGCUAAAAGCAGGCUCACGCCUAAAUAUAUUGCAUGGAAUAAUGAAAUAAGAUCUCGAUUUUAUUUCGUUGGUUGUAGAAGUUGAGAUAAUGAUUAAUAGGAUCAGAGGGGGGCGUACGUACUGUGGUGUGAGAGGUGAAAUUCUUGGAUCGCCACAGGACGAACAGCAGCGAAGGCGUUCGCCAAGAAUGUUUUCAUUAAUCAAGAACGAAGGUUUGAGGUUCGAAGACGAUUAGAUACCGUCCUAGUUCAAACCAUAAACGUUACCAACUGUCUUUUAGAUGCGGUUAUUUAUAUGACUCAUCUGGCGGAUCUCGAGAAAUCUAAGUUUUUAGGUUCCGGGGGAAGUAUGUUGCAAAGCUGAAACUUAGAAGAAUUGACGGAAGGACACACAAGAAGUGGAGCCUGUGGCCUAAUUUGACCCAACACGGGAAACCUUACUCGGCCAGGACACUUUUAGGAUUGACAGAUUGAGAGCUCUUUCUUGAUUAGGUGGGUGGUGGUGCAUGGUCGUUCGUAGUUCGUGGAGCGAUUUGUCUGAUUAAUUUCGAUAACGAACGAGACUCCGGCUUACUAAAUAGUCUAAAGUUCGAAGGGACUUUUCAAGACUUCUUAGCAGGAUAAGUGGCGCCCUUUAAGCCACACGAAAUGGAGCAAUAACAGGUCUGUGAUGCCCUUAGAUGUCCGAGGCUGCACGCGCGCUACACUGGAGAGUUCAGAAUGUUUCUUCCUACUUCGACAGAAGCGGGUAACCAUGAAAUUCUCUUCGUGACUGGGAUCGGAGCUUGCAAUUAUUCUCCGUCAACGAGGAAUUCCUAGUAAGCACUAUUUCAUCAGAAUGUGCUGAUUAUGUCCCUGUCCUUUGUACACACCGCCCGUCGCUACUACCGAUUGAAUGUUUUAGUGAGAUCUUCGGCUUGGUUUUCCGAGCGGCUUUCGGGUCGUUCGGUUUAUAUCGAAAAGAUGCUCAAACUGGAUCAUUUAGAGGAAGUAAAAGUCGUAACAAGGUA
rnacentral:rRNA from 1 species